CCUACGGGCGGCAGCAGUGAGGAAUAUUGGUCAAUGGACGAGAGUCUGAACCAGCCAAGUAGCGUGAAGGAUGACUGCCCUAUGGGUUGUAAACUUCUUUUAUAUGGGAAUAAAACGUUCCACGUGUGGGAUUUUGUAUGUACCAUAUGAAUAAGGAUCGGCUAACUCCGUGCCAGCAGCCGCGGUAAUACGGAGGAUCCGAGCGUUAUCCGGAUUUAUUGGGUUUAAAGGGAGCGUAGGUGGAUUGUUAAGUCAGUUGUGAAAGUUUGCGGCUCAACCGUAAAAUUGCAGUUGAAACUGGCAGUCUUGAGUACAGUAGAGGUGGGCGGAAUUCGUGGUGUAGCGGUGAAAUGCUUAGAUAUCACGAAGAACUCAGAUUGCGAAGGCAGUUCACUGGACUGCAACUGACACUGAGGCUCGAAAGUGUGGGUAUCAAACAGGAUUAGAUACCCUAGUAGUC
rnacentral:rRNA from 1 species